UACAGAGGUCUCAAGCGUUGUUCGGAUUUAUUGGGCGUAAAGGGUGUGUAGGCGGCGCCGUAAGUCGGGUGUGAAAUUUCGGAGCUUAACUCCGAAACUGCAUUCGAUACUGCGGUGCUUGAGGACUGGAGAGGAUACUGGAAUUCAUGGUGUAGCAGUGAAAUGCGUAGAGAUCAUGAGGAAGACCAGUGGCGAAGGCGGGUCUCUGGACAGUUCCUGACACUGAGACACGAAGGCCAGGGGAGCAAACGGG
rnacentral:rRNA from 1 species